rnacentral:rRNA from 1 species
AGUGAACGCUGGCGGUAGGCCUAACACAUGCAAGUCGAACGGCAGCACAGUAAGAGCUUGCUCUUACGGGUGGCGAGUGGCGGACGGGUGAGGAAUACAUCGGAAUCUACUUUUUCGUGGGGGAUAACGUAGGGAAACUUACGCUAAUACCGCAUACGCCCUACGGGUGAAAGCAGUGGAUCUUCGGACCUUUCGCGAUUGAAUGAGCCGAUGUCGGAUUAGCUAGUUGGCGGGGUAAAGGCCCACCAAGGCGACGAUCCGUAGCUGGUCUGAGAGGAUGAUCAGCCACACUGGAACUGAGACACGGUCCAGACUCCUACGGGAGGCAGCAGUGGGGAAUAUUGGACAAUGGGCGCAAGCCUGAUCCAGCCAUACCGCGUGGGUGAAGAAGGCCUUCGGGUUGUAAAGCCCUUUUGUUGGGAAAGAAAAGCAGCAGGUUAAUACCCCGCUGUUCUGACGGUACCCAAAGAAUAAGCACCGGCUAACUUCGUG